UACGAAGGGUGCAAACGUUGCUCGGAAUUAUUGGGCGUAAAGCGCACGUAGGCGGCAUUGCAAGUCGGAUGUGAAAUCUUAUGGCUUAACCAUAAAAGUGCAUCCGAAACUGCAGUGCUUGAGUACUUAAGAGGAUCGCGGAAUUCCCGGUGUAGAGGUGAAAUUCGUAGAUAUCGGGAGGAACACCAGUGGCGAAGGCGACUACCUGGCCUGUUCUUGACGCUGAGGCGCGAAAGCUAGGGGAGCAAACGGG
rnacentral:rRNA from 1 species